rnacentral:rRNA from 1 species
UGAAGGAAAGGUGAAAAGGACCCCGGGAGGGGAGUGAAAGAGAACCUGAAACCCUGUGUUUACAAGCUGUGGAACAUCAUUAUUCGAUGAACCGCGUACUUUUUGUAGAACGGUCCGGCGAGUUACGCUUACUGGCAAGGUUAAGCACUGAAGGUGCGGAGCCGGAGGGAAACCAAGUCUGAAUAGGGCGAUGAGUCAGUAGGAGUAGACCCGAAACCGGGUGAUCUAUCCAUGUCCAGGUUGAAGCUGCCGUAAGAGGUAGUGGAGGACCGAACGCACAUCCGUUGAAAAGGGUGGCGAUGAGGUGUGGAUAGGGGAGAAAUUCCAAUCGAACCCGGAGAUAGCUGGUUCUCCUCGAAAUAGCUUUAGGGCUAGCCUCGUAUUAGUCUAGUGGAGGUAGAGCACUGAAUUUCCUAGGGGGCGUCAAAGCUUACCGAAGAAUAUCAAACUCCGAAUGCCAUAUAGAUGAUGUACGGGAGUCAGACUGCACGAGAUAAGUUGGGCAGUCAAAAGGGAAAGAGCCCAGACCGCCAGCUAAGGUCCCAAAGUGUGUGUUAAGUGGAAAAGGAUGUGGGAUUUCGAAGACAACUAGGAUGUUGGCUCAGAAGCAGCCAUACAUUAAAAGAGUGCGUAAUAGCUCACUAGUCGAGAGGUCCUGCGCCGAAAAUGUCCGGGGCUGAAACACAACACCGAAGCUGCGGAACCCGCAAGGGUUGGUAGAGGAGCAUUCUUAAAGGAACGAAGCAGUACCGAAAGGAGCUGUGGACUUUUAAGAAGAGAGAAUGCCGGAAUGAGUAGCGAGAGUAAGGUGAGAAUCCUUACGGCCGAAUAUCCAAGGUUUCCAGGGUAAAGCUGAUCUGCCCUGGGGAAGUCGGGACCUAAGGCGAGGCCGAGAGGCGUAGCCGAUGGACAACAGGUUGAGAUUCCUGUACUACAGUAUGACAGAACUGUGGGGACGCAGAAGGAGAGCACUACCUGGAAUGGAAUCCAGGGGCAAGCACAGGAGGGGUACGGCUGGAAAAACCGCCGUGCAACCCAAAGGUGUGACGCAUACCGAACUAAAGUAGGGAAAUGUGUGAGCCGGCUGCCGAGAAAAGCCGCUAUUGUUUGUACUGUACCCGUACCGUAAACCGACACAGGUGGAUGAGGAGAGAAUCCUAAGGCCGACGGAAGAAGCAUUGCUAGGGAACUCGGCAAAAUGACCCUGUAACUUCGGGAGAAAGGGUGCCUCGAAAGAGGCCGCAGAGAAUAGGCCCAAGCAACUGUUUAGCAAAAACACAGGUCUAUGCAAAACCGCAAGGUGAAGUAUAUGGGCUGACGCCUGCCCGGUGCUGGAAGGUUAAGGGGAGAUGUCAGGAGACGAAGCAUCGAACUUAAGCCCCAGUAAACGGCGGCCGUAACAAUAACGGUCCUAAGGUAGCGAAAUUCCUUGUCGGGUAAGUUCCGACCCGCACGAAAGGCGUAAUGAUAUGGGCGCUGUCUCGGCAAUGCAUCCGGUGAAAUUGAAGUGCCAGUGAAGAUGCUGGCUACCCGCGCCAGGACGGAAAGACCCC